AAGGUCUCCGUUGGUGAACCAGCGGAGGGAUCAUUAGCGAGUUAAUUACAAACUCCAAACCCAUGUGAACAUACCUACUGUUGCCUCGGCAGGCCGUGCUGCGCGGCUGGAUCGCCCACCCCCCGCGUGGGUAGCUACCCUGGAGUAGCUACCCUGUAGCGGGAGCGGCCCGCCCCGCGGCGCGCCAACAGGCCUGCCGAAGGACCCCUAAACUCUGUUUUGCACCUGUAUCUCUGAGUUUAUUAUACAAAUAAGUUAAAACUUUCAACAACGAGAUCUCUUGGUUCUGGCAUCGAUGAAGAACGCAGCGAAAUGCGAUAAGUAAUGUGAAUUGCAGAAUUCAGUGAAUCAUCGAAUCUUUGAACGCACAUUGCGCCUAAUAGUAUUCUGUUAGGCAUGCCUGUUCGAGCGUCAUUUCAACCCCCAAGCCCUAUUUGCUUGACGUUGGGAGUUUACGGAGACGUAAUUCCUCAAAUAUAGUGGCGGAGCUAGGUCGUGCUCUAAGCGUAGUAACCAAAUUCUCGCUUCUGAAGCCGGCCCGGGUCCUGCCGUAAAACCCCCUAUA
rnacentral:rRNA from 1 species